rnacentral:rRNA from 1 species
GACGAACGCUGGCGGCGUGCUUAACACAUGCAAGUCGAACGGAAAGGCCCUUCUUUUGUCGCGUGUUGCGGUGGCGAGCGUGUCGGAAGCGUGAGAUUCACGUGACUUUGCCAUAGGGAUAAGUGACGGAAGCUAGGGCAAAUACUUCAAAUGCGCUCCCGCGGUGUGGGGUGGGGUGUGUUGUUGAGGAGGUUGGGGCUGGACUCGCGGCUGAUCAGCUUGUUGGUGGGGUGGUGGGUAAGCAAGGCGUUGACGGGUAGCCGGCCUGGGAGGGCGCCCGGCCACAUUGGGACUGAGAUACGGCCCAGACUCCUACGGGAGGCAGCAGUGGGGAAUAUUGCACAAUGGGCGGAAGCCUGAUGCAGCAACGCCGCGUGCGGGAUGACGGCCUUCGGGUUGUAAACCGCUUUCGCCUGGGACGAAGCGUUAGUGACGGUAAUGGGAAAAGAAGCACCGGCUAACUACGUG